rnacentral:lncRNA from 1 species
AAAUCAGCCCAUUUCUCCCAUAGUGAUCAGCCAAACCAGAAAAGAAGAGAAACCAAGGAAGAACAAACCCUAGGUGGGAAAAAUCAAAGAGAAAGUGUUAGAAUUCAAGGAUUUGAUCAAGCAAAGGUAAAAUUUCUUGAUUUUGACUUGUGAUCUACCUUUUCCAUGCAUUUCUCCUCAUUUUUCAUGGUUAAAUUACAUGUUUUCAUGAUGAAUUCAUGGCUGGUUGGAAUGGGUAUGGAGAGAGAGUGAUGUUAGAUUGAUUUGAUUUUAAGUUAUGUUAGUGUUUUUAGUUAGUUAAGCAUGUUUAGAAACAAAACAACAAGAAAAGAAUCCAGUUUUCCCAUGAACCUUCAAUGGUCGAACCCUAUGUGAAGUGUAAAAGUAAUGAAUUGAUUUUGUGAUCAAGUGAAUUGGCUGAAAAAUUGAUGAAAUGAUGAUUUAUGGUGAGAAAAUGGAAUAGGAAAACUUUUAGUGAUAAUGCACCACAAUGGCCAAAAUUUUCAAGAAGAAUUGUGAGGGUUGUUAGGCUGAAUUUUAGAUUAUUGAAAUUUUAUUUAGUGAAUUGAAAUAUUAGAAAUGAAAUGGAGCAAUUUGGAGUCAAAUCAGACACAAUUGUCAUUUAAUCGGGUAAUAGGCCAAAUUAGGUUAGCACCGCAUUUAAGCGGUAGUCGAAUAAGUUGCAUAUCAUAUCAUGCAUAUACACCGAGCCUGAAUUGAUUUUAUAAUGGUCAAGCAUUGAUGUGGUGAAUUAUGUAUUGUACAUUGUGGAUAGGUGGUGAGAAAAUUACACUGGUAAAAGUACAGAGAUUGUGCUUGGAAAUGGGGAUUAGGAGUACAUCGACUCUUAGAACUGUGAGUAAACUUAUUAUCGUCUUAAUUAUCUAGAGUAGUUUUAUACAAUUUUGUGAUUUUAUAGAAAAUGGGUUUAAAUGGUAAAUUGCUAUGUUUUAGGAGAAAUUGUGAUUUUAUAAAAUGAUUUUAUAAAUUUUCUGGAAAAUUGAAUACUGGUUUUGAAAAUAGAGUAAUUGGAGACUGCCUGUUUGUGUUAUAAAUUGUGUUUUAAAUUAUAUGGCUUAUAGCAAUAUGUGAGCAUGAAUGGCAAAGUCGGUAUUUGUAUCAAAAUUAUAUAUACUACAUAUUCAGCCUUGAGAGGCUAGAUUGCAAUAAAUUGCCAUGUCAUGCAGAUAAAGAUUUUAUAAAUCAGGUGGUAGAUAAAAUAAUCCAUAGUCACUGCAAUGGUGGGGGUUUUCGUGGACUGCCUAUGAGAAAGGCAUGGUAACCCAAUUAUAUAUUUACCUUCAGGGGGAGAUGUUGGAUGAAGUAUCUCCUGAGGUAAAGAUUUGCG